GGAAGGGUGUAGGUGGUGGAGGGGUGAAUACGGAGGGGGCGGUGGGUGGGCGGAUGAGAUGGGGGUAAAGUGCGCGGAGUCGGGUAUUGAGGUCGGUGGGGAAAGCCUGUGGGUCAACCACAGAAGGGACGUGGAUACGGGAAGGCUUGAGACCGGAAGAGGACAGCGGAACUGCGGGUGUAGAGGUGAAAUGCGUAGAUAUUCGCAAGAACACCAGUGGCGAAGGCGGCUGUCUGGGCCGGUUCUGACGCUGAGGCGCGAAAGCGUGGGGAGCAAACAGGAUUAGAUACCCGAGUAGUC
rnacentral:rRNA from 1 species